GGCUUCCUGUGUCCAGUCUGCCUCUAUUGGGCAAGUUUAUUGAGAUGAUGGUGAAGAGAGAACCCUGGCUGUAGCCCUCAGCAUUCCUGGACGUCUGACUAUGGACUUGUCUUCAUUAGGGAAAAAAAGUGCAGGACUGAGAGCCAGGAGACUGAACAGAUCCUGCAAUGUAGCUGCCCCUGCCAACGUGUCUCAGCCCUGAACUGGAAGAAUUACUCCCAGACAGAUAAAAAGCUAUCACCCAUCCUGGGAGCAACAAACAAAACAGAACAAAACCAAAUUCUCCUCAUCUUUACCACUGCUUUUUCUAAAUGAUUCAAUCCAGCCUACAGAGGAAGAGAUAAUUUGGAUAUUUAAUCAACCAAACAGAUCUGCACCUUAGUCCUUUAAAAAAAAAAUCUUUCCACCCCACCCAUCUCCCAAAAAGAAACUAUGUGUGAGUGAGUACUGGUGGUGCUGCUGCUGCUGGUGGCUCUGAAGCCGUGUAGAAUUUCGUAAUGGAAUGUGAACUGCUCAUCCGGAUCUGGGCUCGCGUUCUGUCUUCUACCCAGUAAGGAGCAGGGGAGGAUAAAUCUGCUGAGCAAGGAGAAAUACUCUCCUCCUCUUUUAUAACCCAUCAAGGAUGCAUUGCAGAGCACAGGAAGAUAAUGUAAUUCAGAGGUAAAAAAAAAAAAAGGGAGGGAGGGAGGAGAGAGAAGGAGCCAGAGGAAACUUAUCAACGACAUGACAAAGUUCAAUCCACCACCCUCCCCUCCCUUCUCUAAAAAGUUUAAGCAUCUCCAACUAGUCUCCGUCUCCGUCUCCCCUACUCUGCCCGACAACAAGAUGCGUCUGUAUCGGGAGCACGAUGUUGCACAACUAGAAAACUGAAGUUGAGUACAGAACACAAGCCACGCUUCCCACUGCUGCUUCUCCCUCCCAGCACCCAUAUUACAGUGUGUAACAAGUCCAACUCUGGACAUGGUGCC